rnacentral:rRNA from 1 species
GUAGGCAGCAAGCGUUGUUCGGAGUUACUGGGCGUAAAGGGUGUGUAGGCGGUCUUCUAAGUCUGGUGUGAAAUCUCCCGGCUCAACUGGGAGGGUGCGCCGAAAACUGGAAGGCUAGAGUGCGGGAUGGGAGAGUGGAAUUCCUGGUGUAGCGGUGAAAUGCGUAGAUAUCAGGAGGAACACCUGUGGUGUAGACGGCUCUCUGGACCGCAACUGACGCUGAGACACGAAAGCGUGGGUAGCAAACAGGAUUAGAUACCCUGGUAGUCCACGCCCUAAACGAUGCAUAUUUGGUGUGGGCCAUUCAUUUGGUCCGUGCCGGAGCUAACGCGUUAAAUAUGCCGCCUGGGGAGUACGGUCGCAAGGCUG